rnacentral:rRNA from 1 species
AUUGAACGCUGGCGGCAUGCCUUACACAUGCAAGUCGAACGGUAACGGGCCUUCGGGUGCCGACGAGUGGCGCACGGGUGAGUAAUACAUCGGAACGUGCCCGAUCGUGGGGGAUAACGAGGCGAAAGCUUUGCUAAUACCGCAUACGAUCUACGGAUGAAAGCAGGGGACCGCAAGGCCUUGCGCGGACGGAGCGGCCGAUGGCAGAUUAGGUAGUUGGUGGGAUAAAAGCUUACCAAGCCGACGAUCUGUAGCUGGUCUGAGAGGAUGAUCAGCCACACUGGGACUGAGACACGGCCCAGACUCCUACGGGAGGCAGCAGUGGGGAAUUUUGGACAAUGGGCGCAAGCCUGAUCCAGCCAUGCCGCGUGCAGGAUGAAGGCCUUCGGGUUGUAAACUGCUUUUGUACGGAACGAAAAGCCUUCUUUUAUUACAGGAGGGUCAUGACGGUACCGUAAGAAUAAGCACCGGCUAACUACGUG